rnacentral:rRNA from 1 species
GCUAAUCCUGGUCGGACAUCAGGAGGUUAGUGCAAUGGCAUAAGCCAGCUUGACUGCGAGCGUGACGGCGCGAGCAGGUGCGAAAGCAGGUCAUAGUGAUCCGGUGGUUCUGAAUGGAAGGGCCAUCGCUCAACGGAUAAAAGGUACUCCGGGGAUAACAGGCUGAUACCGCCCAAGAGUUCAUAUCGACGGCGGUGUUUGGCACCUCGAUGUCGGCUCAUCACAUCCUGGGGCUGAAGUAGGUCCCAAGGGUAUGGCUGUUCGCCAUUUAAAGUGGUACGCGAGCUGGGUUUAGAACGUCGUGAGACAGUUCGGUCCCUAUCUGCCGUGGGCGCUGGAGAAUUGAGGGGGGCUGCUCCUAGUACGAGAGGACCGGAGUGGACGCAUCACUGGUGUUCGGGUUGUCAUGCCAAUGGCACUGCCCGGUAGCUAAAUGCGGAAGAGAUAAGUGCUGAAAGCAUCUAAGCACGAAACUUGCCCCGAGAUGAGUUCUCCCUGAGACUUUAAGUCUCCUGAAGGAACGUUGAAGACGACGACGUUGAUAGGUCGGGUGUGUAAGCGCAGCGAUGCGUUGAGCUAACCGAUACUAAUGAACCGUGAGGCUUAACCUU